AUGAGAUCUGUCAAGAAUCUCAUCACCAAUGUUUACAUCAAGAAUUUUGGAGAAGACAUGGAUGAUGAGCGCCUUAAGGAUCUCUUUGGCAAGUUUGGACCUGCCUUAAGUGUGAAAGUAAUGACUGAUGAAAGUGGAAAAUCCAAAGGAUUUGGAUUUGUAAGCUUUGAAAGGCACGAAGAUGCACAGAAAGCUGUGGAUGAAAUGAAUGGAAAGGAGCUCAAUGGAAAACAAAUAUAUGUUGGUCGAGCUCAGAAAAAGGUGGAGCGGCAGACGGAACUUAAGCGCAAAUUUGAACAGAUGAAACAAGAUAGGAUCACCAGAUACCAGGGUGUUAAUCUUUAUGUGAAAAAUCUUGAUGAUGGUAUUGAUGAUGAACGUCUCCGGAAAGAGUUUUCUCCAUUUGGUACAAUCACUAGUGCAAAGGUUAUGAUGGAAGGUGGUCGAAGCAAAGGGUUCGGUUUUGUAUGUUUCUCCUCCCCAGAAGAAGCCACUAAAGCAGUUACAGAAAUGAAUGGUAGAAUUGUGGCCACCAAGCCAUUGUAUGUAGCUUUAGCUCAGCGCAAAGAAGAGCGCCAGGCUCACCUCACUAACCAGUAUAUGCAGAGAAUGGCGAGUGUACGAGCUGUGCCCAACCCUGUAAUCAACCCCUACCAGCCAGCACCUCCUUCAGGUUACUUCAUGGCAGCUAUCCCACAGACUCGGAACCGUGCUGCAUACUAUCCUCCUAGCCAAAUUGCUCAACUAAGACCAAGUCCUCGCUGGACUGCUCAGGGUGCCAGACCUCAUCCAUUCCAAAAUAUGCCCGGUGCUAUCCGCCCAGCCGCUCCUAGACCACCACUUAGUACUAUGAGACCAGCUUCUUCACAGGUUCCACGAGUCAUGUCCACACAGCGUGUUGCUAACACAUCAACACAGACAAUGGGUCCACGUCCUGCAGCUGCUGCCGCCGCAGCUACUCCUGCUGUCCGCACCGUUCCACAGUAUAAACACGCUGCGGGAGUCCGCAAUCCUCAGCAACACCUUAAUGCACAGCCACAGGUCACCAUGCAGCAGCCUGCUGUUCAUGUACAAGGUCAAGAGCCUUUGACUGCUUCCAUGUUGGCAUCUGCCCCCCCUCAAGAGCAAAAGCAAAUGUUGGGUGAACGGCUGUUUCCUCUUAUUCAAGCCAUGCACCCUACACUUGCUGGUAAAAUCACUGGCAUGUUGUUGGAGAUUGAUAAUUCAGAACUACUUCAUAUGCUCGAGUCUCCAGAGUCUCUCCGUUCUAAGGUUGAUGAAGCUGUAGCUGUACUACAAGCCCACCAAGCUAAAGAGGCUGCCCAGAAAGCAGUUAACAGUGCCACCGGUGUUCCAACUGUUUAAAUCGAUCAGGGACCACGAAAAGAAACUCGUGCUUCACCGAAGAAAAAUAUCUAAACAUCGAAAAACUUAAAUAUUAUGAAAAAAAAACAUUGCAAAACAUAAAAUAAAUAAAAAAAGGAAAGGAAACUUUGAACCUUAUGUACCGAGCAAAUGCCAGGUCUAGCAAACAAUGCUAGUCCUAGAUUACUUGAUUUAAAAACAACAAAAAAAAAACA